rnacentral:rRNA from 1 species
CCUACGGGUGGCAGCAGUGAGGAAUAUUGGUCAAUGGGCGCGAGCCUGAACCAGCCAAGUAGCGUGAGGGAGUACUGCCCUAUGGGUUGUAAACUUCUUUUGUCGGGGAGCAAAAGCAGGCCGUUUCCGGCUGUGAGAGUUCCCGUAGAAAUAGCAUCCGCUAACUCCGUGCCAGCCGCCGCGGUAAUACGGAGGAUGCGAGCGUUAUCCGGAUUUAUUGGGUUUUAAGGGUGCGCAGGCGGAUUUUUAAGUCAGCGUGAAAAUCUUGGGGCUCAACCCCAUCCAGCCGUUGAUACUGGGGAUCUAGAGUGUGCUAGAGGUAUGCGGAAUGCGUGGUGUAGCGGUGAAAUGCAUAGAUAUCACGCAGAACCCCGAUUGCGAAGGCAGCAUACCGGUGCACAACUGACGCUCAGGCACGAAAGCGUGGGUAUCGAACAGGAUUAGAUACCCGAGUAGUC